UGUCCCUCCGCGAGGAAACACACUCUUAGGGACUUCAGUCCAAAUUCAUGUCAAUACCAAAGUAGAAUCAGUAAUGUAAAUAGGGAGAAAAGCUACACAGCUACCCCUACAGUGAGGUGGCCUAACCACAACCAUGCUAAAGCGAAGGGUGUUUCUUUUUCCCAAAUCACCCGACGCAAAGAUCAUAGCCUCCCCGCGUAUGUCACACGUUGGGGAGGGGUGGAGGAAAAACCUGGGGGUCAGAUAGGUACCGAUCCAAAAUGACUUGCUCUUUUGGAGCGUGACCGGUCUGAUUUUCGGACAUGUGGGUCCCGUUGACUAGCAGCGGUACACACAUGUUCCUAGGGGGUGGGAUGAUCGGCGAGUGUGAGUGAGUGA